rnacentral:rRNA from 1 species
UACAGAGGGUGCGAGCGUUAAUCGGAAUUAUUGGGCGUAAAGAGCUCGUAGGCGGUCUGUUGCGUCGGCUGUGAAAACCCGGGGCUCAACCCCGGGCCUGCAGCCGAUACGGGCAGACUAGAGUUCGGCAGGGGAGACUGGAAUUCCUGGUGUAGCGGUGAAAUGCGCAGAUAUCAGGAGGAACACCGGUGGCGAAGGCGGGUCUCUGGGCCGAUACUGACGCUGAGGAGCGAAAGCGUGGGGAGCGAACAGG